UUUUUCACGUUUUCCUUACUCCCUGCCUUCUCUCUCCGUUGAAGAUGUGACGUCCUCCGCUAUCACCGCCGUCGCGGCUCGCGUCGCACGAGCUCCCUCCGUCGCCCUCAUCGCGUUUGCUCCCUUCGUUGCCAUCGUCGUACGAUCUCUCUCCGCCGUGCUCUUGUCUUACGAGCUCCUUCCGCGCCGCUCUCGUCGCUGCUUCUUCUCUCCUCGCCGGAGGUUUGUCAUCAUCUCUUCUCAUCGCCGUUAGUUCAGAAGUAAACCUUCUGCAGAAAGUUUCGGCUAUUGUUCAUGGAAACUUGAAGUUCUCCGAGAGGUGAUAAUGGCAUGGCAGGUUAAAUUCAGGCUUUGAAAGUAAAAAAUUAUGCUGGAAUUAUGGGUUAUGAAACAAGGAUCUCAUCUUUUGAUAGGUUGUUGGUAUUCAAGGGCAUAAUCCUAGUGGGCAUUGCUUAGUUGCAUCUAAAUUGGUAGAUUCUAUACUACCUACCUCUGUUGCUGAUGAUAAGGAUUUGAAUCCAGCAAAGAAGCUUGCUAUUGAUAAAAGUCAACCAAUUGAUAUUACUUCUAAAAAGACAGAGUUGUCCAUGAUUAUUGCAGCAGGCCCUUUUACAACAACAGACAAUUUUUUUUUGAGCCCCUUGUAGAAUUUAGUGGCGAGAUACCGAAUUCUUUGGGAGGCCUCAAGAACCUGAAUUAUUUGCGGUUGAAUAAUAACAGCCUUACAGGACCGUGUUCUCAGUCUUUAAGCAACAUAGAAGGUUUAACACUUGUAGACCUCUCCUACAAUAAUCUGAGUGGUUCCUUGCCAAGAAUACCAGCAAGAACAUUAAAUUUAGUGCUUCAAACAAAUCAAGAGCUUGAUCAUGAUGAAAAGCUAAGUUUCCGACAUCAGAUGGGUCCACCUGUGGCCAAUUCUCCACCUUAUAGGGUGAUAGUCGUCUAUAGAGAUCAGAGGAUCAUUGGUGCAAACUGAAAAGUGAUAGAUGGCGAGGUCAUUUAAAAAGUGCAUGAUGCUUUGUUGUACCGGCAAGAUUUUCUCGUGGCAUAGGGAGUCAAGAGACUACAAGUGUGAAUCUGAAGGUGAUUCAAUUUAUAUUUGUAUGAAGAAUUUAUUUUCUGUGUCCAAAGUUUUGGAUAAAUCUUCCUUUCUCUUCCCAUCUCCCCCCUCCCUCUUUUCUCUUUCUUCAAAUUAAGCUGGAUCUCUCAGUUUUUUGAAUUGGCCAAGCCACUAACCCACAUUAUGUACUUCACCAACAUUGUACCCUGACCCUGAAAAUCUGAAGCAACACUCUCCCCAAAAAGGCAAAAAUGUGUUAUCCUACAGCAUUGACCGUUUUAUGCGCUGCAUUUCUUUUGCAGAUACCAUCAAUUGCUUCAAUUCCGGUUCCUAGUUCCAAUUGCUAUACUUUCGAUAAUUCUAGUUGUAUUGUUGAUUUUGUAUCCUUCACUUCUCACAAUCAAGAACAUUUGUUCUUUGAUUGGGCUUUGCAUUUUAUUUGAUUGAACUCAAGGUUUGGUUUUAUUGGUGUUUCGCUGACAACUUGCUAGAUCUAACUUGUCAACUUUUUCUAUUUCUUUCAGCCUAUGAUGCCACCUUAUGCAGCACUUUAUUCACCUGGAGAGGUUUAUACUCAUCCUGCCAUUCCUAUUGGUCUAUGUUCUCACUCUGGACAUUUUUAUUGAGGAACAAAAAGACAAAGUUUUCUUGUGAGGAAAGUAGUGAUGAAGAAGAAGAAGCAGCAGCAGAAAGAGCAAGUGAAGUGAAUUUUGCUGAUGAGAUAAGUGGAAUUAACACAGGACCUCCUUCACCAACUUCAUCUAUUAAUUAUUAGAGUAGCAAAAAUUGUUCAAAUAAGUUAGAAAAUUGAAUAGGAGUUGCUUGCAAUAUAGGUCUUUUAAUUUACUAGUAUGAGAAAAAUCAUUUAGAGCCCUUUGGAUGCUCAUUAACAACUUUUAAUUUACUCAAUAGACUUUGUUG